rnacentral:rRNA from 1 species
UACGGAGGGUGCGAGCGUUGUCCGGAAUCACUGGGCGUAAAGGGCGCGUAGGCGGCGCGGGCAGUCAACGGUGAAAGCUUGGGGCUCAACCCCGAGUCGGCCGUCGAUACUCCCGGGCUGGAGCACUGUAGAGGCAGGUGGAAUUCCGGGUGUAGCGGUGGAAUGCAUAGAGAUCCGGAAGAACACCGGUGGCGAAGGCGGCCUGCUGGGCAGUAGCUGACGCUGCGGCGCGACAGCGUGGGGAGCAAACAGG